CAGUCGCCACGGGAAUACGAAGGGUGCAAGCGUUAAUCGGAAUUACUGGGCGUAAAGCGUGCGUAGGCGGUGAGUUAAGUCUGCUGUGAAAUCCCCGGGCUCAACCUGGGAAUGGCAGUGGAUACUGGCUCGCUAGAGUGUGUCAGAGGAUGGUGGAAUUCCCGGUGUAGCGGUGAAAUGCGUAGAGAUCUGGAGGAAUACCGAUGGCGAAGGCAGCCAUCUGGCCUAAUACUGACGCUGAGGUACGAAAGCAUGGGGAGCAAACAGGAUUAGAUACCCGCGUAGUCCCUGUCUCUUAUAC
rnacentral:rRNA from 1 species